rnacentral:rRNA from 1 species
AACACAUGCAAGUCGCGGGGCAGCAUAAGGUUUUAGCAAUAAAAUUCGGAUGGCGACCGGCGCACGGGUGAGUAACACGUAUCCAACCUGCCCUUUACUCGGGGAUAGCCUUGCGAAAGCAAGAUUAAUACCCGAUGGCAUUGUUUUCCCGCAUGGGGAAUCAAUUAAAGGAGAGAUUUGGUAAAGGAUGGGGAUGCGUUCCAUUAGGCAGUAGGCGGGGUAACGGCCCACCUAACCGACGAUGGAUAGGGGUUCUGAGAGGAAGGUCCCCCACAUUGGAACUGAGACACGGUCCAAACUCCUACGGGAGGCAGCAGUGAGGAAUAUUGGUCAAUGGGCGCGAGCCUGAACCAGCCAAGUAGCGUGGAGGAAGACGGCCCUACGGGUUGUAAACUCCUUUUGUACGGGAAUAACGGCGUCCACGUGUGGGCGUGUGCAUGUACCGUACGAAUAAGCAUCGGCUAACUCCGUGCCAGCAGCCGCGGUAAUACGGAGGAUGCGAGCGUUAUCCGGAUUUAUUGGGUUUAAAGGGAGCGUAGAUGGGCUGUUAAGUCAGUUGUGAAAGUCAGCGGCUCAACCGUUGAACUGCAAUUGAAACUGGGAGCCUUGAGUGCGUUUGCGGUGGAUGGAAUUCGUGGUGUAGCGGUGAAAUGCUUAGAUAU